rnacentral:rRNA from 1 species
CCCUUAGAUGUCCUGGGCUGCACGCGCGCUACACUGAUGUGUCCAGUAAGCACCUAACCUCUUCCGAAAGGAACGGGUAACCUUUGCAAAGCACAUCGUGAUGGGGAUAGAUUAUUGCAAUUAUUAGUCUUGAACGAGGAAUUCCUAGUAAGCACAAGUCAUCAGCUUGUGUUGAUUACGCCCCUGCCCUUUGUACACACCGCCCGUCGCUCCUACCGAUUGAAUGUUCCGGUGAGCUCUUCGGACUGCGCGGUCUGCAGUUUCUGCGUUCCGUGCGGAAAGUUGCGCAAACCUUAACAUUUAGAGGAAGGAGAAGUCGUAACA